rnacentral:rRNA from 1 species
AUUAAUACCCGCAUGAGCACCACAACAGCCACAUGGCUUAGGGGUAACAAGGAUUUAUCCGGUGUAAAGAUGGGCUCGCGCUCUGAUUAGCUAAUUUGGUGACGAUAACUGGCCCACCAAGGCGACGAUCAGUACCGACCUGAGAGGGUGAUCGGCCACAUUGGAACUGAGACACGGUCCAAACUCCUACGGGAGGCACGACGUGGGGAAUAUUGCACAAUGGGCGCAAGCCUGACUGCACGCAACGCCGCGUGAACGAUGAAGGUCUUCGGAUCGUAAAGUUCUGUUGCAGGGGAAGAUAAUGACGGUACCCUGUGAGGAAGCCCCGGCUAACUACGUGCCAGCAGCCGCGGUAAUACGUAGGGGGCUAGCGUUAUCCGGAUUUACUGGGCGUAAAGGGUGCGUAGGUGGUCUUUCAAGUCGGUGGUUAAAGGCUACGGCUCAACCGUAGUUAGCCUCCGAAACUGGAAGACUUGAGUGCAGGAGAGGAAAGUGGAAUUCCCAGUGUAGCGGUGAAAUGCGUAGAUAUUGGGAGGAACACCAGUAGCGAAGGCGGCUUUCUGGACUGCAACUGACACUGAGGCACGAAAGCGUGGGUAGCAAACAGGAUUAGAUACCCUGGUAGUCCACGCUGUAAACGAUGAGUACUAGGUGUCGGGGGUUACCCCCCUCGGUGCCGCAGCUAACGCAUUAAG